GAUGAACGCUCGCGGGAGGCCUAACACAUGCAAGCCGAGCGGUAUUGUUUCUUCGGAAAUGAGAGAGCGGCGUACGGGUGCGUAACACGUGUGCAACCUGCCUUUAUCUGGGGGAUAGCCUUUCGAAAGGAAGAUUAAUACUCCAUAAUAUAUUGAACGGCAUCGUUUAAUAUUGAAAGCUCCGGCGGAUAGAGAUGGGCACGCGCAAGAUUAGCUAGGUGGUGAGGUAACGGCUCACCAAGGCGAUGAUCUUUAGGGGGCCUGAGAGGGUGAUCCCCCACACUGGUACUGAGACACGGACCAGACUCCUACGGGAGGCAGCAGUGAGGAAUAUUGGUCAAUGGGUGCAAGCCUGAACCAGCCAUCCCGUGUGAAGGACGACUGCCCUAUGGGUUGUAAACUUCUUUUGUAUAGGGAUAAACCUACCCUCGAGAGGGUAGCUGAAGGUACUAUACGAAUAAGCACCGGCUAACUCCGUG
rnacentral:rRNA from 1 species